UACGAAGGGGGCUAGCGUUGUUCGGAAUUACUGGGCGUAAAGCGUGCGCAGGCGGCUUCUCAAGUCAGGGGUGAAAGCCCAGAGCUCAACUCUGGAAUUGCCUUUGAGACUGAGAGGCUUGAGUACGGGAGAGGUGAGUGGAAUUCCCAGUGUAGAGGUGAAAUUCGUAGAUAUUGGGAAGAACACCGGUGGCGAAGGCGUCUCACUGGCCCGUAACUGACGCUCAUGCACGACAGCGUGGGGAUCAAACAGG
rnacentral:rRNA from 1 species